AGAUGCAUUUAUUAGAUAAAAAACCAAUACAUGCUUUUAAAGUAUGGAAUUUGGUGAUUUACAAUAACUUAGCAAAUCGCAUAGUGAAAACAGGCGAUAAAUCAUUCAAGUUUCUGACCUAUCAGCUUUCGACGGUAUGGUAUUGGCUUACCGUGGCAGUGACGGUUAACGGGGGAUUAGGGUUCGAUUCCGGAGAGGGAGCCUGAGAAACGGCUACCACAUCUAAGGAAGGCAGCAGGCGCGCAAAUUACCCAAUUCUAACAGCAUAAGAGAGGUAGUGACAAGAAAUAACAAUACAAGGCAGUUAAAAUGCUUUGUAAUUGGAAUGAUAGAAAUUUAAACACUUUUUAAAGUAUCAAUUGGAGGGCAAGUCUGGUGCCAGCAGCCGCGGUAAUUCCAGCUCCAAUAGCGUAUAUUAAAAUUGUUGCAGUUAAAAAGCUCGUAGUUGAAUUUCUGCUAAAAAUAACCGGUCUGCUUUUAAUAAAGGUGGUAUCUUGGUGUGUUUUUAGCAAUAAUGUCCUUUGAAAUGUUUAUUACUUCAUUGUAAUAAAUUAUUUUCAGGAUUUUUACUUUGAGAAAAUUAGAGUGUUUCUAGCAGGCUAACGCUUUGAAUACUGCAGCAUGGAAUAAUAAGAA
rnacentral:rRNA from 1 species